rfam:Triticum aestivum genome assembly, contig: Triticum_aestivum_CS42_TGACv1_scaffold_625569_7DS
CUGGUACUCCCUCUGAAAAUACUUGUCAUUAAAAUAAAUAAAAGGGGAUAUAUCUAGAUUUAUUUUAGUUUUAGAUACAUCUCUUUUUGUUUAUUUUGAUAACUAGUAUUUUCGGACGGAUGGAGUAGGAG